rnacentral:rRNA from 1 species
UACGUAGGGGGCGAGCGUUGUCCGGAUUUAUUGGGCGUAAAGGGCUUGUAGGUGGCCACGCGAAGUCGGCUGUGAAAUCUCCCGGCUCAACUGGGAGGGGUCAUUCGAUACUGGCGGGCUCGAGGCCGGUAGGGGGAAGCGGAAUUCCCGGUGUAGUGGUGGAAUGCGUAGAUAUCAGGAGGAACACCGAUGGCGAAGGCAGGUCUCUGGGCCAUUACUGACACUGAGAAGCGAAAGCAUGGGGAGCGAACAGG